CCGUCGGCGUUGCGUCCUUGCCGUCUGACCAAGCUGCAGCGGCCGGAGGGGCCGAGGGCACUGCGACGAUCACCUCACCCCUUCCCCACCGUCUUCGCCUGCAUCCCCCCACGACGCUUCCAAGCCCGGGCUCUGCAGUUUUCCGUCCCUCGCCGUUUUGUCGCGGGACCACCAAAUUUCUGCCUCGGAAGAAACCUUGAGCCCGGACGAGCAGUUGCAGCCGGCCUCCAUCGAGCUUUUCCAGCUCGGGCUCCACCGAGCAGCGCAUCGAGGCUGGAUUCUUGGGCGAUAGCUUGUACCCAGCCAAAAAAAAAAUCAAGCCGCGGACUCUGAAGACAGGAAGCAGAGAGUGAAUGUGUGCGAUCGAGCAAGCUCAACGGCCCUUUUUUUGGGGCAAAAUCCAGCAGUUUCCGUUACCCGCGCAGUCGCGCUCUGCGUUUCCUCCAGCUGUUCCGCGCCGGUGGGCAGCAGGCAGGGGAAGGCGCGUGGAAACCUGCGGGCGGGGAAGUCCGCAGCAGCCCGUCGGGAAGAGACGGGGAUUAAGGGUCCCAGGAGCCGGCGGGGUCUGGGGGGAAAACGCCGGGAUUGCGCCUAAAGAGGAAGAACCACGUUAUGCUCCAUGUAAUCCUGAUACUGCGCGGGAGACAGCGGCAGCUGCUCCGGGAGGGGAGACAGGGGCAGCAAUUGGUGCAGUCCCCGGAGAAGGAGGGCACAAAACGGGUCGGUUGGGAGCACUUUUUGGUGGAAGUGGCGCCGUCAGUGUUGUCUAGGGCCCGACUUGGGGUACGGCUCAGGGUUCCAGUUAGGG
rnacentral:lncRNA from 1 species